UACGUAGGUGGCAAGCGUUGUCCGGAAUUACUGGGCGUAAAGGGCGUGUAGGCGGCUUUUUAAGUCAGGCGUGAAAUACUUUGGCUUAACCAAGGAACUGCGUUUGAAACUGGAGAGCUUGAGGACCGGAGAGGGUAGUGGAAUUCCCAGUGUAGCGGUGAAAUGCGUAGAUAUUGGGAGGAACACCAGUGGCGAAGGCGACUGCCUGGACGGCACCUGACGCUGAGGCGCGAAAGCCAGGGGAG
rnacentral:rRNA from 1 species